GCUGUUUGUUUGCACACUCCCCUCUCUGCAUUAAAGGAGCCUGCCUGCACGCCGCCAGCACAGCGCUAGCUAGCUCCAUCUCAUCAUCACCUGACACACCAACAGAUGUUAUGGGCCGAUAAGGACCUUCUUCCCUUUGUAUCUACAAUUACCUCUGCACAAACAGGAGGGGGAGGGGGGAGGAGAGGAGAUAGAGAGAGGAGGGAGAAGGAAGGGAAUUAAAUAUAUGAUGAUGCCCCUUUUAAACAAAAAUCCGGGGGAGGAAGAUGGAGGGAAGAAAUAACGAGAGAAGUGGAGCGCGAGCGAGAGGAGUCCUAACGUGGACGCCCUAGUACCUGUAUAUGACCUGUGUAGAGCACCAGCCCACACAGAGAGAGGGAGAACGAGGGACGAGAGGAGAGAGAGACCAUGACGGGCAAACAGAUUGAUAUCGGAGAAGAAGAAGAAAGAGAGGGACACCGAGAGAGUUGAACGAAGGGAAGAACAGAGAACUAUAGCUGGGUGUGUGGUGGCUUGUGGUUAGGAGGUCCAGAGGAAAGAAUGGAAGGAGAGAGAGAGAGAGAGAGAGGGAGGGGAUGAAAGGAGGGGUAGAGGAGUGUAACCUGUUUGAUGUGGAUGGGCCCGGAGCGGGGUUGUUUUGUCUGUGGUGUGGUCACGCUGUGCUCAGAUAGAAAGGCAGGCGGGAGACAAGAACGAGUAAUCAAGUGGAUCACUAUGGACCUGACGCUCACUACAACCAAUUCACCGCAGCUACCAGGGACAACAUGGAAGACACCAGGCAAGGAGGACAGUCGUCCAUUGUCAACGACACUUCAUCAACCCUCCAUUCUGAAUUACAUUUGAGUCGAGAAAUAGAAGAAUGUCUCAAUGAAAUAGAAAUCAGCCAAAUAAGCCAAGCACCUACACACUAAAGUGUGCUGUUUGUAAUGUGACUGUAACAAAGUACAACAUCAUUAGUGCACAGCUAAUCAGUGAUCUGUGAUUCAAAUCACAUAAGUAGUCGAACAUGUAGAUAACUGGCCAAUGAGACAGUUAGCUACGUCUGUUACUGAUGUGAGAUUAGUUUUUUUAACAUUAUCCUUGUAGACCCCCCCAAGCUACAGAUCAGAGGAGGGGAGACAGGGAUAGAUGUGAAUCAGGGAGAAGAGUGGAUAAUGUAUAUAAUCAGUUAUUAUCACUUCUGCAUCUCUAACGCUAACACUGCUCUAAUCACAAUAACACCACUUGGGAUAUCUGCUGUUCUUCUGUCCCAUGCUACUGAUGGUGUGGGUUUAUCUGUGUGUGUGUCAAAUUGCCAUGUAUCUGGCUAACGUAGCACCGCCACCAGACUAUGGCCUAAGCCCUGUUGAGAGUUACAUGUUCCUGUGCAUGUUUGUGGUUGCGUGUUGGCGUACGUGCUUGAGUCCGUUUGUCUUGCGUGUGAGUGUGUGUGUGUGUGACCAUGCGCGUGUGUGUGAGAAAUAGAGGGGGAUCAGAAUGGAAUCAAAUCCUUUCUACUCAAAAAAAAGCAGCCUGCUAUGAUCUAUCUUCAGUCUCCAUCUACCUUGGCGUUGUCUGAGAUGUUCUAGUGCCAGUGUGGCGGGCGCUGGGCGCAGGGGGCUGGGGGCUGGGCGCUGGGCCGGGGGAACUCCAAACACUAAAUAAGCCUUAUCUCCUCUAGAGCUGGGCCAGAUUAGUUGCCAUCCUGCCCUCUCUUGUUCACACACAUGCAAACACAUACACACACACUACAGCUGCUACUGGCAUUAGAGGGCACAACUACAGGAG
ensembl:lncRNA